rnacentral:rRNA from 1 species
GCAUAUCAAUAAGCGGAGGAAAAGAAACCAACAGGGAUUGCCCUAGUAACGGCGAGUGAAGCGGCAACAGCUCAAAUUUGAAAUCUGGCUUCGGCCCGAGUUGUAAUUUGUAGAGGAUGCUUUUGGCGCGGUGCCUUCUGAGUUCCCUGGAACGGGACGCCAUAGAGGGUGAGAGCCCCGUAUAGUUGGACACCAAGCCUCUGUAAAGCUCCUUCGACGAGUCGAGUAGUUUGGGAAUGCUGCUCAAAAUGGGAGGUAAAUUUCUUCUAAAGCUAAAUACCGGCCAGAGACCGAUAGCGCACAAGUAGAGUGAUCGAAAGAUGAAAAGCACUUUGAAAAGAGGGUUAAAUAGCACGUGAAAUUGUUGAAAGGGAAGCGCUUAUGACCAGACUUGUUCCCGGUUGAUCAUCCAGUGUUCUCACUGGUGCACUCUGCCGGGAUCAGGCCAGCGUCGGUUCUCGUAGGGGGAUAAAAGCUUCGGGAACGUGGCUCCUCCGGGAGUGUUAUAGCCCGUUGCAUAAUACCCUUAUGGGGACCGAGGUUCGCGCUCUGCAAGGACGCUGGCGUAAUGGUCAUCAGCGACCCGUCUUGAAACACGGACCAAGGAGUCGAGGUUUUGCGCGAGUGUUUGGGUGUAAAACCCGCACGCGUAAUGAAAGUGAACGUAGGUGAGAGCUUCGGCGCAUCAUCGACCGAUCCUGAUGUAUUCGGAUGGAUUUGAGUAAGAGCGUAUAGCCUCGGACCCGAAAGAUGGUGAACUAUGCCUGUAUAGGGUGAAGCCAGAGGAAACUCUGGUGGAGGCUCGCAGCGGUUCUGACGUGCAAAUCGAUCGUCAAAUAUGGGCAUGGGGGCGAAAGACUAAUCGAACCAUCUAGUAGCUGGUUAUCGCCGAA